rnacentral:tRNA from 1 species
GAGGGUGUAGCUCAGUGGUAGAGCGCAUGCUUAGCAUACACAAGGUCCUGGGUUCAAUCCCCAGUACCUCCA